UAAUGUUGGUUUAGAUUCAACAUGACUGUUUGAUGCCAAAGUUAGUUGGAACUCUAACUCAUACACAGAUAACCGUUGCUGCUGCUACCGUAUUACAGCCACAGCCAGGAAAAUUAUUCUUUUCUUCAGAAAAUUGUAAGUUUUAUUUUUUGUCUAGACCCCCCAUACCCCCAAUCUCAUCAGAUUUAUUUGUAUGUGAAGUGUAUCUAAUAAUCCAUUUCUCGUGAGUCGUGAUUUUAAGCCUCGGAAACAGAGUUCGGAUAGCAAUCCAUCCGUUCCGCACUGUCAAAUGUUUUGGCCGUCAGUAGGUGGCUAAAAAUUUGGUUCAUCCACCAGGUGACGCGAGUGUCUUCGUGAGGACGAAAAUUAGCCAUUUGUUUCCGAGACGCUGACUGAAAGUGUACUCCAAAUUUAUUAUCGGAAUUGCGGUGUCGAUCUACAUUUUCAGCCAUGAAAUGUAAUUGGCAAUCUGGCAUAUAAUUUCACUUGGGUCGAAACUGCUGUCCAUUUUGCCGAAAUGUCGGCGAUUGUUAGCUGUACCUAACUACCUAUUCGGCUCUACGUCUCAUCUCGUGCAGAAACACUUCAGAGCUUGUAAUAAAAGACAGAGAUCCGUUUGCUCAACUG